UACGGGGGGGGGCAAGCGUUGUUCGGAAUUACUGGGCGUAAAGGGUGCGUAGGCGGCGCGGUAAGUCGGGUGUGAAAUCUCGGAGCUUAACUCCGAAACUGCAUUCGAUACUGCCGUGCUUGAGGACUGGAGAGGAGACUGGAAUUUACGGUGUAGCGGUGAAAUGCGUAGAUAUCGAGGAGGAACAGCCGGUGGUGUAGACGGCUUUCUGGACCGUAACUGACGCUGAGACACGAAAGCGUGGGUAGCAACAGG
rnacentral:rRNA from 1 species